UACGUAGGCAGCAAGCGUUGUUCGGAGUUACUGGGCGUAAAGGGUGUGUAGGCGGUUCUUUAAGUUUGGUGUGAAAUCUCCCGGCUCAACUGGGAGGGUGCGCCGAAUACUGAGGGACUAGAGUACGGGAGAGGAAAGUGGAAUUCCUGGUGUAGCGGUGAAAUGCGCAGAUAUCAGGAAGAACACCCGUGGCGAAGGCGGCUCUCUGGGACGGUACUGACGCUGAGACGCGAAAGCGUGGGGAGCGAACAGG
rnacentral:rRNA from 1 species